rnacentral:rRNA from 1 species
AACGCGAAGAACCUUACCUACCCUUGACAUGUCCAGAAUCCCCGAGAGAUUGGGGAGUGCCUUCGGGAACUGGAACACAGGUGCUGCAUGGCUGUCGUCAGCUCGUGUCGUGAGAUGUUGGGUUAAGUCCCGCAACGAGCGCAACCCUUGUCAUUAAUUGCCAUCAUUCAGUUGGGCACUUUAAUGAGACUGCCGGUGACAAACCGGAGGAAGGUGGGGAUGACGUCAAGUCCUCAUGGCCCUUAUGGGUAGGGCUUCACACGUCGUACAAUGGUCGGUACAAAGGGUUGCCAAGCCGCGAGGUGGAGCUAAUCUCAGAAAGCCGAUCGUAGUCCGGAUCGUAGUCUGCAACUCGACUACGUGAAGUCGGAAUCGCUAGUAAUCGUGGAUCAGCAUGUCACGGUGAAUACGUUCCCGGGUCUUGUACACACCG